CCUACGGGAGGCAGCAGUGAGGAAUAUUGGUCAAUGGGCGCAAGUCUGAACCAGCCAAGUCGCGUGAGGGAUGACUGUCCUAUGGAUUGUAAACCUCUUUUGUCGGGGAACAAGGCCCGCCACGUGUGGCGGGAAGGAGAGUACCAGAAGAAAAGGCAUCGGCUAACUCGGUGCCAGCAGCCGCGGUAAGACGUAGGGGGCAAGCGUUAUCCGGAUUUACUGGGUGGAAAGGGAGCGUAGACGGCAGCGCAAGUCUGGAGUGAAAUGACGGGGCCCAACCCCGGAAUUGCUCUGGAAACUGUGAAGCUGGGGUGCAGUAGUGGUGAGCGGAAUUCCUGGUGUAGCGGUGAAAUGCGUAGAUAUCAGGAGGAACACCGGCGGCGAAGGCGGCUUACUGGACUGUAACUGACGUUGAGGCUCGAAGGCGUGGGGAGCAAACAGGAUUAGAUACCCUGGUAGUC
rnacentral:rRNA from 1 species